UUCUCUGUGUGCAUCCUGAGGUUGAAAUGGCCCAGUGUGGGCCCUGUGGGACAGAUGCUGCUGGAGAAGGCCUUUCCUUCUCAACCCAAGGCUGCCCAGAUGCUAUCAGCACUACUGGACUGGCAGAGAGUACCAGCCUUUACCAUCUUCCCAGAACUUUGGUACCCCCAUCUGCCUCCAUGAUGUAUCCUAAGGCCUGAGGACCCUCCUGCCUGACUUGCAGCUGAAUCCUCUGAAAAUGUGACAGCAAAUAAUCCAAUAUGUGAUAAACAUGUCCAGGCCUUCUAUACGUAUUUCCACAAUUAUCGAUGCUGCACAAGAAAAAUCAGAUCAAAAAGAAAAAAAGAAAAAGAAAACAAAAAGCAAGCAAACUACAAAAAAGGUAAAAAUACAAUGUUGUUAUCCAC